CAGGAACUCGAGAGAACAACCUCUUUCAAGGCACAGAAGGCUGAAGCGCAUUAUCAAUAUUUGGUAUGUUCACAGCUCCAAGGACGGCUGCAGAAGUGCACUAAGCUGGCUGGGUUUCUGGGAGCCAAUGCAUCCAACUGGUAAAAAGUCGGUGGCCUCUGUGGGAGCGGUUUUGCCGAGAGGGCAGGGUCCUGCUCAGUGGCACUUGCCCUGGGUCAGAGCACUGUCUCCAGAGUACUGCCUGCCUGAACCUCCCACCCCGCUUCUCUGGCCUUUGGGGUCGCCUCCUGCAAGUCACGCCUCUGCCCUUCCUCCCUGCUGCUGCCCUGAUGCUGGUCCACUACCCACUUCCCUGAAUGGUGGACACCCCCCAGAAAAUCAGGACACUUCCCAGGGGAAAAAGUAUUGUUAGAGGAGCUCUAUUUUACAGGACUCACAGGCUGGGUUUUGUUGGUUAUGUAUUGUGGCAUUGGAGCAGGCAAUCACAGGGCCAUCUGUGUGAAUGGGGGGGGCGGGGGGUGUGGGGAGGAGGCUUGUGAAAGUGCCCGCCAAUGCGGGCGUCCUCACUGGAAGCCCGUUGGUCUUUCCGAUUCGUGGGGUGAGAUGGUUAGAAAAACCGCUCUUCCUUUGUUUAGAACUGAACUAGGUGCAUGGAAUGAAGGGCAAUGACCCUGUUAACAUCUUGUAGAACCAGAUACCAGUUGUAACUGUGCAAAUCAGGGCCUGCCCCAUCUCCUCAGCUGGAGCAGCCACUGGUGCUAUUGGUGCCGUGGUGGCAAGCUGAGCUCCUAAAGGGCACUGUUGGGGUCAGGGAAAGCAUAUAUAUUUAUAAAGGAGGAAAAAGACAGUUAUUAUGUGAUAAUCAUACCUGGUACCCUUUCCCCCUCAUUAUGUCUUUUUUUUUUUUUUUUUUGAGAAGGGGUUGUGAUUAUAGAAGUAACAUAUGUAGUUAUUAAAAUGUCAUACAGGCCAGGUGGAGUGGCUCACACCUGUAAUCCCAACACUUUGGGAGGCCGAAGAGGGUGGAUCACUUGAGGUCAGGAGUUCAAGACCAGCCUGGCCAACAUGGUGAAACCCCAUCUCUACUAAAAAUACAAAAAUUAGCCAGGCGUGGUGGCGCAUGCCUGUAAUCGCAACUACUCAGGAAGCUGAGGCACAAGAAAUGCUUGAACUUGGGAGGCAAAGGCUGCAGUGAGCUGAGAUCAAGCCACUGCACUCCAGCCUGGGCAACAGCGCAAGACUCUGUCUCUAAAUAAAUAAAUAAAUAAAAUGUCAUAUAAUAUAAAAAUAAGAGUCUCCUUGUUGUUUUGCCGGGGCUGCCAUAACAAAAUACCACAAACUGGGUGGCUUAAACAAUAGAAAUUUGUGGUCCCGCAGUCUGGAGGCUGGAAGUCCAAAGUAGGGUGUUGCAGGGCUACCAGGGCAGGAUGUGCUCCAGGCCUCUCUCCUUGGGUUGCACAUCUUCUCCAUCUUUUCCAGGCCUGUUCUCAUAGUCUUCCCUCUGUGCAUGUCUCUGUGUCCAAAUGUCCCCUUCUUAGAAGGAUAGCAGUCAUACUGGAUUAGG
rnacentral:lncRNA from 1 species